rnacentral:sRNA from 1 species
AUACUAUGGGUGUAUUUUUGUAUGGGUUACCGUGGUUAGAAUGUUUCAAAUAACUUUCCCCAUUUGUGCCGAUCAAGAAUUACAACUAUUAUUAAAUAGUGCCGAGGGGCACAAGGAGGAGUUUAUUCAUGGAACAAGGUACAGUAAAGUGGUUUAACGCAGAUAAAGGUUUUGGUUUUAUUACUCGCGAAGAUGGUAGCGAUGUAUUCGUUCAUUUUUCAGCUAUCCAAGGCGACGGUUUCAAAACUUUAGAUGAAGGCCAACAUGUAACUUUCGACGUUGAAGAAAGCGAUCGUGGACCACAAGCAGUUAACGUUACAAAAGACUAAUUUAAAGUCAAAAUGUACGAAGUGAGACAGCCGUCUCACUUCGUUUU